rnacentral:rRNA from 1 species
GAUCAGCGCUGGUGGCUAAAUGGCGUUUAUGGCCCUCAAAGCGAUGUCGAGAAGCUGCAAUUCCUUGCCGAUUUGCAGGAGGUGCGGGUGAACUGCGCAGGGCCUUGGGUCCUUGGAGGCAACUUCAACAUGAUCGCUUCCGCUGCCGACAAAAACAACUCACGCCUCAACUUGUGCAUGAUGCGGAGAUUCCGGUGCUUCAUGGCGGACAUGGAGCUGCGAGACCUUUACCUCCACGGUCGUCGCUAUACUUGGUCUAACGAGUGAGAUAACCCCACGCUAGUCCGAAUUGACCGUGUGCUCUGCACCCCGGCUUGGAUUGAAGCUAACCCACACUAUCAACGUCACUGCCUUUCCUCUGCGGCCUCCGAUUAUUUCCCUCAUGGUAGAUUGCACAGUGAGCUCACCCGAGUCGUGCCGGUUUCGCUUUGA